rnacentral:rRNA from 1 species
AACGAACGCUGGCGGCAUGCCUAACACAUGCAAGUCGAACGAACCCUUCGGGGUUAGUGGCGCACGGGUGCGUAACGCGUGGGGAUCUGCCCUUUGCUUCGGAAUAACAGUUAGAAAUGACUGCUAAUACCGGAUGAUGUCGAAAGACCAAAGAUUUAUCGGCAAAGGAUGAACCCGCGUAGGAUAAGCUAGUUGGUGGGGUAAAGGCCUACCAAGGCGACGAUCCUUAGCUGGUCUGAGAGGAUGAUCAGCCACACUGGGACUGAGACACGGCCCAGACUCCUACGGGAGGCAGCAGUGGGGAAUAUUGGACAAUGGGCGAAAGCCUGAUCCAGCAAUGCCGCGUGAGUGAUGAAGGCCUUAGGGUUGUAAAGCUCUUUUACCAGGGAUGAUAAUGACAGUACCUGGAGAAUAAGCUCCGGCUAACUCCGUGCCAGCCGCCGCUGUAAGAC